rnacentral:pre_miRNA from 1 species
GCCUUCUCUUCCCGGUUCUUCCCGGAGUCGGGAAAAGCUGGGUUGAGAGGGCGAAAAAGGA